rnacentral:rRNA from 1 species
CUCUAUAUUUUCAAAAAGUAAGUUUAUUCCAAAAACUAAUUCUCCUGAAUUUUUCAUUGAAUUUAAUAUAUUUAGAUAAUUUUUAUUUGCCUUGUUUAUUAUAUUUAACAUAGACAUUAAAUCUUGACUAUCCAGCUUUAUCUUAUUAUGUUUAGCUAGUCUUCCUAAACAAUUAAGUGAUUUACAAACAUAUACUGCUCUUGACUGCUUUUUUUGCUCCUUAUCAAAUUCAUAAAAAGCUUCUUUCACUUUGGCAAGUCUAAAUAGCUUAGAUUUUUCAUUUUUAGCCCUACAAAUUAUACAAGUUCUUUCUGGUAUAUGAGUAUUACUCAUUUUCUUCCUCUUUUAAAGUUUCAUUAUCAAUAACUUUAAUAUCUACUCUCAUUCCUGUUAAUCUAGCUGCAAGUCUUGCAUUUUGCCCAUUUUUACCUAUUGCUAGUGAUAAUUGUGAUGGCUCUACCAAUACUCUUGCUGUUCCAUCUUCUAAAAUUGUAACAUUUGAUACAACUGCUGGACUAAGAACUGCUGAAACAAAUUCCUCUACAACUGGUUUCCAUUCAACUAUAUCUAUCCUUUCUCCAUUUAGCUCAUCAACAAUAUUUUUAAUUCUUGCCCCUCUUUGUCCUAUACAAGCUCCAACAGUAUCAAUAUUUGGAACUGCUGAAUAUACAGCAACCUUUGCUCUUGACCCUGCUUCCCUUGCAACUGAUUUUAUUUCAAUUAUUCCUGAUGUUAUUUCUGGAAUUUCAAUUUCAAAUAGUUUCUUUAAAAGUCCUUCAUUUUUUCUUGAAAUCAAUAUUUUUGGAAAUUUAUUUGUCUUUUCAACACUUAAAAUAUAUACUUUUAUUCUCUCUCCAACUCUAUAUACAUCAGAAAGUGAUUGUUCUGCUGGUGGUAAUAUAAGCUCUAUCCCAUCUAUUUCAAUAAAAAUAUUCUUUCUAUUAUCAAUUCUUCUAAUUAUACCAGUUACUAUGCUGUCUUCUCUUUCUUUAAAUUUAUUAAAGAUGUGUUCUCUUUCAGCUUCUCUAACUUUUUGGAUAACUAUUUGUUUACCAUUUUGAACAGCAUUUCUUCUAAAAUUUUCACAAUCUACUUCAAAUUUUAGAACAUCUCCUAUUUUUACUCUCUUUUUGAUUUUUUGUGCAUCUUCAAGAGAAAUUUCUUCAUUUGGAUCUAAAAGGUCAUCAGCAUCUACAACUGUUUUACUUGCAAAAACCUUUAUAUCUCCAUUUGCUCUAUCUACUACAACUUCAACAUUUUCAUCUUCACCAUAGUUCUUUUUAUAUGCUGCUAAAAGUGCCAGUUCUAUGGCUUCUAAUACACUUUCUUUGCUAAUUCCUUUUUCUCUUUCAAGCUCAUCAAGUGCUUCUAAGAAAUUUUUAGAAUCCUUAGCCUUCAUCUUUUUUCUCUACCUCCAUUAUUAUUUUUAAAAAUCAUUAAAUUCAAACAAAAUAUUAGCUUUCCUUAUUUCAUUAAACUUUAUUUCAAUUUCUUUUUUAUCUAUUAAAAAUAUUAUAUUAUCUCCAUUUACUUCUUUUAUUAUUGCUUUAAAUUGUUUUUUAUCAUCUAACUUAUGCUUUAAGUGUAAAGUUAUUUUUUCUCCUAUAAAUCUAACAUAGUCUUCUAUUUUUUUUAAUGGUCUUUCAAGCCCAGGUGAAGAAACUUCAAGGAAGAAUUUAUGCUCUAUUAACUCUUCUACUUUAUCCUCUAUUUUAGAACUCAAUUUACUACAAUCCUCUAUAUUUAGAUCUCCAUUUAAGUUUUCAAUAAAAACUCUAACAUACCAAUAACCUCCAUCUUGUACAUACUCUACAUCUACAAGAGAGAGGUUCAUUUCUUCUAUAAAAGGAUUAACGAUUUUUGUAAUUUUUUCUACAAUUUGAUUAUUCUCUUCCAUAGUGAUUUUUCUCCUCCUUUUCUACAAAAUAAGGAGUGGCUCUGUCCACUCCUUAAAGUACUUUCUUACUUGUUAACUAAUUAUAUCAUAUUUAUUUUUAUAAAGCAAUUUUAUUUAUAUUUAAUUUAAACAUAAAAAAUAAAAUAUAGUCAUCUAUUUUUUAUCAGCAUUUGAUAAAUAAUCUAUUUACUAUAUCUUUUGUUUACAUUUAAUUAUAUAACAAAUGAUAUUGAUAAAAGAAAUUUUUAUCUAUGAUAAAAAGAGAGAGAAGCACUAGCUUCCCUCUAAAAAAUUGCUUGGCAAAUCCAUACUCUCCCAGACCGCUUCCAGCCAAGUACCAUCAGCGUAUAUGGGCUUAACUUCUAGGUUCGGAAUGUAACUAGGUGUACCCCCAUAGCUAUACUCACCAAGCAUAUGUAUUUUAUCACAUAAUAUCUUUAUGCGCAAGUCUGAACACUUGAAACUAUAUAGUAGAGCUUAGAUUAAAACUUCGAUAAUUAGUAUUGGUCAGCUAAAUACAUUGCUGUACUUACACCCCCAACCUAUCAACCUCCUAAGCUCGAAGGUAUCUUAAAGAAUACUUAUCUUGAAGUUAGUUUCCCGCUUAGAUGCUUUCAGCGGUUAUCUAUUCCAAACGUGACUACCCAGCUGUGCCACUGGCGUGACAACUGGUACAUCAGAGGUUUGUCCAUCCCGGUCCUCUCGUACUAAGGACAGGUCUUCUCAAUAUUCUAACGCCUACAGUGGAUAGGGACCGAACUGUCUCACGACGUUCUGAACCCAGCUCACGUACCGCUUUAAUGGGCGAACAGCCCAACCCUUGGGACCUUCUCCAGCCCCAGGAUGCGAUGAGCCGACAUCGAGGUGCCAAACCCUACCGUCGAUAUGGACUCUCGGGUAGGAUC